UACGUAGGUGGCAAGCGUUUGUCCGGAUUUAUUGGGUUUAAAGGGUGCGUAGGCGGCGCGGUAAGUCGGGUGUGAAAUCUCGGAGCUUAACUCCGAAACUGCAUUCGAUACUGCCGUGCUUGAGGACUGGAGAGGAGACUGGAAUUUACGGUGUAGCGGUGAAAUGCGUAGAUAUCGUAAGGAAGACCAGUGGCGAAGGCGGGUCUCUGGACAGUUCCUGACGCUGAGGCACGAAGGCCAGGGGAGCAAACGGGG
rnacentral:rRNA from 1 species